UCGGCCUAGAGGGAAGGAGAGAGAGACUAGGCAUUUUCUAGAGAGAGAAGAAGAACAAGAAGAAAGAAGAGAGGACCAGAUCUCUUUAUAGGAUUUGAGCAAGGUGGUGGCCAUAGUUGGUUCUAGUGUUCUCUCAAGGAAGCGUGAUGAACGCGACACAAAAAAAGGGCUUACUAAGGAUGUGAAGACGUGACCCGAUUUACUAAGGAUAUAUAGACGUAAUUCAUAGGGUAGACGCGCCAAAGUUAUUCAAGG